rnacentral:rRNA from 1 species
GAUGAACGCUGGCGGCGUGCCUAAUACAUGCAAGUCGAGCGAACAGACGAGGAGCUUGCUCCUCUGACGUUAGCGGCGGACGGGUGAGUAACACGUGGAUAACCUACCUAUAAGACUGGGAUAACUUCGGGAAACCGGAGCUAAUACCGGAUAAUAUAUUGAACCGCAUGGUUCAAUAGUGAAAGACGGUUUUGCUGUCACUUAUAGAUGGAUCCGCGCCGCAUUAGCUAGUUGGUAAGGUAACGGCUUACCAAGGCAACGAUGCGUAGCCGACCUGAGAGCGUGAUCGGCCACACUGGAACUGAGACACGGUCCAGACUCCUACGGGAGGCAGCAGUAGGGAAUCUUCCGCAAUGGGCGAAAGCCUGACGGAGCAACGCCGCGUGAGUGAUGAAGGUCUUCGGAUCGUAAAACUCUGUUAUUAGGGAAGAGCAAAUGUGUAAGUAACUAUGCACGUCUUGACGGUACCUAAUCAGAAAGCCACGGCUAACUACGUG